rnacentral:rRNA from 1 species
GUGAGUAACACGUGGGCAAUCUGCCCUGCACUCUGGGACAAGCCCUGGAAACGGGGUCUAAUACCGGAUACUGACCCUCACGGGCAUCUGUGAGGUUCGAAAGCUCCGGCGGUGCAGGAUGAGCCCGCGGCCUAUCAGCUUGUUGGUGAGGUAAUGGCUCACCAAGGCGACGACGGGUAGCCGGCCUGAGAGGGCGACCGGCCACACUGGGACUGAGACACGGCCCAGACUCCUACGGGAGGCAGCAGUGGGGAAUAUUGCACAAUGGGCGAAAGCCUGAUGCAGCGACGCCGCGUGAGGGAUGACGGCCUUCGGGUUGUAAACCUCUUUCAGCAGGGAAGAAGCGAAAGUGACGGUACCUGCAGAAGAAGCGCCGGCUAACUACGUGCCAGCAGCCGCGGUAAUACGUAGGGCGCGAGCGUUGUCCGGAAUUAUUGGGCGUAAAGAGCUCGUAGGCGGCUUGUCACGUCGGUUGUGAAAGCCCGGGGCUUAACCCCGGGUCUGCAGUCGAUACGGGCAGGCUAGAGUUCGGUAGGGGAGAUCGGAAUUCCUGGUGUAGCGGUGAAAUGCGCAGAUAUCAGGAGGAACACCGGUGGCGAAGGCGGAUCUCUGGGCCGAUACUGACGCUGAGGAGCGAAAGCGUGGGGAGCGAACAGGAUUAGAUACCCUGGUAGUCCACGCCGUAAACGGUGGGCACUAAGGUGUGGGCAACAUUCCACGGUUGUCCGUGCCGCAGCUAACGCAUUAAGUGCCCCGCCUGGGGGAGUACGGCCGCAAGGCUAAAACUCAAAGGAAUUUGACGGGGGCCCGCACAAGCGGCGGGAGCAUGUGGGCUUAAUUCGACGCAACGCGAAGAACCUUACCAAGGCUUGACUACACCGGAAAGUUCAAAAGAUAUGCCCCCCUGUGUGUCGGGGGGAAAAGGUGGGGGCAAGGGCUGUCCUCAACUCCUGUCCUGGGAAAGAAUUUGGGGGUUAAUUUCCCCCCAACAAAGCGCAACCCUUUGUUCUCUGGUUGCCGCAGGCCCUCUUUGGUGGUUGGGGGAAUUCCCGGGAAACCGCCCGGGCACUCUCUAGAAAAAAAGGGGGGGAGAGGAGAGAAAAAUACUAUAUUGCCCCCUUUUUUCUUUUGUGUGUGCCCCCCCGCUUCAAAAGGCGGGGUGAGAAGGGAUGGGAUACCCCCCCGGGGGGGAGGGGAAGUUCAAAAACCAGCCCCCCCUUUCUCUUUUGUGGGGUGUGGGGGUUUUCUCCCUCCCACAAACCCGAAGAACGGCGGAUUUAUCCCAAAACACUAUAAUCUCCCGGGGGAAAAGAUUUUCUCGGGCCUUGUGUAACACCCCCCCUCUGUUUUCG